UUGCAUAUGCUGUGAGUUGGGGUCCAUUUUCAUUCUUUUGCAGGUGGACAUCCAGUGAUCCCAGCACCAUUUGUUGAACAGACUAUUCUUUCUUAAUUGAAUGGACCAGGCAGUGUUGUUGAACCAAACUUCUCUUGAUAUAUUGAAGAUCUUCUCUAUAUUUAUAGCAAGGAGCCAGCUACCAGAUGUGUCCAGGAGACCUCCCAGCUUGUGAGGACUUAUUCUUCCCCUGAAGCCUCAUGCCUCGAAUAUUAGACCAAGAAAGGUCAGUGAGGACAUGGGAGCUUGUUUCAGAAGAAACGGACGAGUGACCAUCCAGCCUGAGAAUAAGGCUAGGCUUUGCGUGGUGAGGCUUGACACUGUCCCAGCUGUGGGCAUCAACUCAGAAAUGGAACCAAAGAGGCAACCCAACUCCAAACCGCCAGCCUGCCCAGGUUUCCUGUGGCGUGUGAAAUCUCUCCGCCCUGAACUUGGCACCCAAGAAGGAGAGUGUGGCUGUCCAGCAAUGCCCCAGGGCUGUUCCACACCCUUGGACCAAAUCUCACCCAGAAGCAGGAGCAUGGCAGCUGCCACCCCAGCUCUCUCCCCAAAGACGGGGCCUGUGCUCAGCCCAGGAAUUGUGCGUUCUCAGCAACAUCUGCUAUGGCAAUAAUGAUGAUUCCCAGCUCACCAGCUCUGCCUCCUUCUUAAUUUCCAGUGUGAUAAGAAUCUGGGGAAGAGAAGAGAGUGAAGCAACACAGCAGAGGGAGAGCUAAGGUAACGCUAAGGAGGCUGGGUUUUCUUCUAUCGAACUCCUUCUUUAGUGACGCUACCAGUGGUAUUGCCAGGAGAUUGAAAGAAUUAACCAUCAGCUGAUGAAUGGAUAAAAAAAUAGAUGGCAUGCCCAUACAAUGGAAAAAAAAAGAAGAACUGAUAAAGCGCUGCAUCAUGGAUAAAUCUUAAAAACCUUCUGCCAAAUGAAAGAACCCAGUCACAAAAGACCACAGAUUGUGUGAUUACAUGAAAUGUCCAGAACAGAGAAAUCUCUAGAGACAGAAAGCAGAUAGGCAGCUGCCAGAGACUCAGAGAGGGGGAUGAAGAGUGACUACUAAUGGGGAUGGAGCAUAACGCUAAAAUGUAUCAUGGUGAUGG